AGAGAGAGACAUGCGCGCAUAUCAAUAAGCGGAGGAAAAGAAACUAACAAGGAUUCCCUUAGUAACGGCGAGUGAAGCGGGAAGAGCUCAAAUUUGAAAUCUUCAAGGUUCUACCUUGACGAAUUGUAGUUUAAAGAAGUGUUUUCUGUUGAAGUUUUGGUAAAAGUUCUUUGGAAUAGGACAUCAUAGAGGGUGAGAAUCCCGUAUUUGGCCAUUAUUUUCAGCUGUGUGAUACACUUUCAAAGAGUCGGAUUGUUUGGGAAUGCAGUCCAAAAUGGGUGGUAAAUUUCAUCUAAAGCUAAAUAUUGGCGAGAGACCGAUAGCGAACAAGUACCGUGAGGGAAAGAUGAAAAGAACUUUGAAAAGAGAGUUAAACAGUACGUGAAAUUGUCAAAAGGGAAGCGUUUGACACCAGUGUUGUUUUUCUGAAAAUCAAUUAAAGAACUGUUUAUGCUAAGCUGUUUAGACUUUAUCAGCUAUCUGUUUAGUUUUGAGCUUUUCUUUAAUGCACUUUUCAGUUAACAAGUCAACAUCAAUUUCUUUUGCUGUAAAAAAGCUUGAGGAAGGUGGCUUGAGAUUCGUCUUAAGUGUUUAUAGCCUCUUGCCUAUGCAGUCGGAGAGAUUGAGGUCUGCAGCGUAGAUCCUUCGGGGCUAAAUGCAUUUGUGCUAAGUUAUAGCAUUUUAUAGACAACUUGUUGACUAUGAUUUGUCUUGUAGCUUACUCGCUUAUGUUAUUUUACCUACGCUUAGGAUGUUGAUGUGAUACUGCGAGCA
rnacentral:rRNA from 1 species